AAGUGCAGAUUCACCCACGUUGGAAUAUAAUUCCAGGCUAUUCGCCAAAUUGUAAUUUUUAUCUUUGAAGGUAGAUUAAGGAGCCAGAUAUUUUUGUAAAAAUCCCUAGUUUCAGUUUGUAAGGCAUAAGCCCUAGGAUCAUUUUCAUUACCUUGUAAUAGUUUAUAGGCGCUUCUCACGGUGAACUCUCCCGAGGACUCUCCCCUCCAGGCUGGAAAAUCUUUGUGAGGCUCUUUUGCAAGCGGAAUGCAGAGGAUUCUCUCAGCUAUCUCCAGUGGAAAGGUAGGCUCAAUCAAGCCCUGUUUCCACUCCCU
rnacentral:lncRNA from 1 species